rnacentral:rRNA from 1 species
AGAGGUCCAGCCUGCCCAGUGAAAAUUUCAACGGCCGCGGUAACCUGACCGUGCAAAGGUAGCGUAAUCACUUGUUUUUUAAAUAAAGACUAGUAUGAAUGGCACCACGAGGAUCAAACUGUCUCCUUUCCACAAUCAGUGAAACUAAUCUCCUAGUGAAAAAGCAAGGAUGUUACUGUAAGACGAAAAGACCCUGUGGAGCUUUAAACAAAUAACUAAUGCCAUACUUCCCUUCUUCUCCCCGCACCUUAGUUACUAAUUUUGGUUGGGGUGACCGCGGAGAAAAAUCUAUCCUCCAUGACGAAAUUACUUUAAACAAAACUACAACUUUACUUCACAAUAAAUUGACGCACUGACCCAAUAACUUGAUCAGCGAACUAAGUUACCCCAGGGAUAACAGCGCCAUCCGCCUUAAAAGCCCAUAUUGACAGGCGGCUUUACGACCUCGAUGUUGGAUCAGGGUAUCCUAGUGGUGCAGCCGCUACUAACG